rnacentral:rRNA from 1 species
UUAGUGGCGGACGGGUGAGUAACGCGUGAUAACCUGCCGUAUACAGGGGGAGUAACACUUAGAAAUAGGUGCUAAUACCGCAUAAGCGCACGGUUCCGCAUGGAACAGUGUGAAAAACUCCGGUGGUAUACGAUGGAUCCGCGUCUGAUUAGCCAGUUGGCGGGGUAACGGCCCACCAAAGCGACGAUCAGUAGCCGGCCUGAGAGGGUGAACCGGCCACAUUGGGACUGAGACACGGCCCAAACUCCUACGGAAGGCAGCAG